ACCAUAAGAUUAAUUUAAUUACUGUUUUAAAUUUCAAUUUCUUCUUUUGUUUUAGAAAUUGAGUGUUGUAACCGCUGGUUACAAUAUUGAUUGUUGGCUUUGCCAAAAUGAAAAAAAAUACUCUAGAGUUGCUCAAUUAGUUCCACCAAUCCAUCUUAAGUCCUACCCUAGCUAUGCAGUACUGUCAACUGUGUGAGUGGUAGUCCUCCAAGUCUGACGUUUACGUCUGGGACGGAGGAGUCACUCCUGCAGGAACACUCUCAGUAGGGUACUCAAUCACAACGGUGUGAUCAAGUAAUGUCGCGCAACAUGUCAUUCAUCGCUGUUGCAGUCAUGGGAAGGGCUGCCAAAAGUGGACAAGGUAAAUGUCAGAUCGGAUGACAUCGCGAAAAUUUAAGUUUACUCGGUAUCAUCCGGCCUUAGCCACACUCAGCUACCGCCAAGAACAUUCUUUCUGCUCCCAACGCCCGAAGAAAUCAGAAGUGCGCGCGGUUUUACUGAAAUUAAUAUCAGAUUAGCAGAUUAAAAAUGAGGCGAAUAUACAUAGUGAUAAUUAAAUCGGGUCAAGUGAAUUAAAAGGUGUUAGUACGGUUAGUUGUCAUAAAAUUAUUAAAAUGUAUUAUCUUAGGGCUAAUCGUUAAAAUUAAAUAUAUUGUUAAACAGUGUUCCCAAUACGAAAAGCAUGACAUGGAAAGCACGGAACAUACAAUUUAAAAAAGAGUCAAAAAGGUAAAAUUCUAAAAUGAAACGGGUAAAACGUUGGUGUAGGUUCAGUUGUAAAAACACGUGACACAUACGCUAAUUUCUACUGGGCAGGUCCCCAGUGGACCUUUUUGUUUCCGGCUUCGGAUUUCGUCCGAAGAAUAUUUUCACAGGAGAGAUUCCUCGACCGCCUACUACGCAGCGGACAGAUCACGAUCGGGAGUGCCGUGAGUCCCUGCAACCAGAAUCGAAGGUUGGACGUGCUAGACAAUUCGUCACCAUAUUGUCGUCAGCAUCUUCAACAAAGAUCGGUAAGCAGUUCGUUUCCGGUCAAUACCACAACCACGAUAAUCGACACCCCGGAAGGAUCGAAGCGUCCACUAUAAGCGGUCACAGAUCCGCCAUUGCUGUUCUCGUCGGCUAUACGCUAUGCCGCCAUCGCACACCCUACACCAACAAAUAAAAUCCGCAAGUAGAAAUAGGAUAAUGUGACGUCACUUAGAUUUAAGGACAUGUGUUAGGGUAAAAUAAAUUGUACAUGUAAUUAAGAAUUGAGCUUCGUUCAAGAUUAACAUUGUCCGUAUAUUUACACCACAAUUUGAUUCGAGCUCCGGACUCGAAAGGAGUCGUCAGCCCUCGUCUUCAGGUGUUCUAUUUGAAAGAAGGUUCAAGGUUUCGCUGGUGUGAUCUGUUAUGUAUAGCGCGUACCUUUUGGGUCUUCACCUUGGUUGCCUGCAGCAAUGAAUGGUCCGUUUUCCCGUAGUUCCCAACGUGAAUGAGUCCCGUGGUGAGUAUGUGUACGCACAAAACGAGUACCAGCAGAAUUCCCCUCCAACCCCCCACUGAACUAGUCUAGAGGUUACAAAAUGGCGCCCAACUUCAAAUACCCACAAAAUUUUGAAUUCUUCAAAACUCCCCGAAGGGGAAGCAAAAAACAGCACGCUGU